rnacentral:rRNA from 1 species
UGGGGAAUUUUGGACAAUGGGCGAAAGCCUGAUCCAGCAAUGCCGCGUGUGUGAAGAAGGCCUUCGGGUUGUAAAGCACUUUUGUCCGGAAAGAAAUCCUUGGCUCUAAUACAGUCGGGGGAUGACGGUACCGGAAGAAUAAGCACCGGCUAACUACGUGCCAGCAGCCGCGGUAAUACGUAGGGUGCAAGCGUUAAUCGGAAUUACUGGGCGUAAAGCGUGCGCAGGCGGUUUGCUAAGACCGAUGUGAAAUCCCCGGGCUCAACCUGGGAACUGCAUUGGUGACUGGCAGGCUAGAGUAUGGCAGAGGGGGGUAGAAUUCCACGUGUAGCAGUGAAAUGCGUAGAGAUGUGGAGGAAUACCGAUGGCGAAGGCAGCCCCCUGGGCCAAUACUGACGCUCAUGCACGAAAGCGUGGGGAGCAAACAGGAUUAGAUACCCUGGUAGUCCACGCCCUAAACGAUGUCAACUAGUUGUUGGGGAUUCAUUUCCUUAGUAACGUAGCUAACGCGUGAAGUUGACCGCCUGGGGAGUACGGUCGCAAGAUUAAAACUCAAAUGAAUUGACGGGGUCAUAGCGUUU